AGCAGCCGCGGUAAUUCCAGCUCCAAUAGCGUAUAUUAAAGUUGUUGCAGUUAAAAAGCUCGUAGUUGAAUUUCGGGAUUCUAUCGUUGGUCGGGCUAUUGUCUGUACUGGCGUGUAGAAUUUCUACCUUCUGGGGAACUAUCAUGUUAUUAAUUUAGCGUGGUAGGAAACCAGAACCUUUACCUUGAAAAAUUAGAGUGUUCAAAGCAGGCUUAUGUCUGAAUACAUUAGCAUGGAAUAAUAAAUAGGAUGGUGGUCCUGUUUUGUUGGUUUCUGAAUCACCGUAAUGAUUAAUAGGGAUAGUUGGGGGCAUUAGUAUUCAAUUGUCAGAGGUGAAAUUCUUGGAUUUAUUGAAGACUAACUACUGCGAAAGCAUUUGCCAAGGAUGUUUUCAUUAAUCAAGAACGAAAGUUAGGGGAUCGAAGACGAUCAGAUACCGUCGUAGUCUUAACCAUAAACUAUGCCGACUAGGGAUCGGACGAUGUUAACUUUUCUUGACUCGUUCGCGC
rnacentral:rRNA from 1 species